UGCUGCUGGAGGAUCCAGAGGGUUAUAUCAAUUUAUGGAAGUUGUUUGAUCAAUACAAAGUUCUGUGUUUUGAACCUACAGACUCAAGCAAUACCAAGCUAUGCUUUACUUCCUUUGCAGUUGACAUACUAAAGUAAGUCUGCACUUUUAAGUUCAGUUGCACUGAGUUUGGUAGGUCCUGUAACAUGAAUUAUAUUUUGUAGGGAACUGUACAUGAUAGUCCUAAAGGAAGGGCAAGGUGCCGAUUUCCUGUUUAAAUUUGAGGCAUCACAGAUCCUUGUUAAGUGGGAUUCUGGCAUUGUUGAACAUAUUGCUAUACCUGCAUCACAAUUCCAAAGUGGUAAAUAAAUCAUGAUCCCUUCAUAUAAUUCACAGUAUAUAUUUUUCGUUUAUUGAUUUUUAUUGUUAUUUCGUUUAAUGCAUCACAAUAUACUUGAAACAUAACAACAUGUACAUCAUAAUUCCCAGAACCUGUAAGUGGAAUUCUGCACAAUAUAGUUUUUUUGUUUACUUAUUUAUGUUUGACAAUGGAAGUCUUGCAAUUCUGUUCAUUUUUUAUAUUCUAACAUAUAUUAAUUGUCUACUUUAUAAUUCCCCCAAGUAAAUCUAUCUACGUUGACAGAAUUGUUGGCGCAUUUACAGGCUUGGUGUAUUCAAUCUGUGGCACGGUGAUUGGUCUCAACUGCAAUGAACUACUUCAUUUGAUGUUGCUUGCGCAAAACAAAAGGUGAAGUUUUAUGUUUUUUCUCUUUUUGUCUCAUAAAACUGAGUGAGCACAUCACACACUCCUAAGCUCUAGGCACAAGCUACCUUGAAGCUGAAACACAAAACAGGAACCACAAGCAGUUUUCUAGGCAUGCAGUGCAUGGUUUGAUGAAGUAAAACCUACCUUCCAUAAAAACAGAUUGAGCAUCAGAGACUCGUCUAUCAGCUUUGUUAUUCAAGACUUUUUGAAAGGCACAUUUAAAAGACAAAUGGGUCUACACAUUUAGAUUUUGUCAGCCCCCUGUCCUUCAGACAGGGGCACUGCAAUCCCGCAGUUAAGCCUACAAAGCUGGAGCUUACCUUCAUAAUAUCAUUGAAAGGCUUCAGGAAAUCAUGCUCAAUUAAGUACUACCAUUUUUUGUUGUUGAGAAAACUCCACAGAGAACCCAUGAGGGCCUGGUGCUCGAUGUGCUCUAUAGAUAAUUCUUUGUCCCUGUUGGACAGAACUUCAGGAAGGGUCAGAAAGAGAAACAAGCAGCAGCACGGGUCCAAACAACUCUUUAUUGUACUUAGUAGCAUAAUUCAAAAUGUUCUUAUCCCCCUUACAUCACCCCUCACCCCCACCCCGCACCCCAAUUGUACAGAUCACGACGGUGCUUCGGAGAUGGAGAUCACAAGCACAAGAUGAUGAUGGCCAUAUCAUAUCACUUAUAUUGGUUGCAUGUGAUGUUUAUCCUUUAUGCAUCUUAUCUUGCUUUAAUUGACGUUAGCAUUUUAAGAUGAUCUCUCACUAAUUAUCAAGAAGUGUUCUCCCUGAGUAUGCACCGUUGUGAAAGUUCUUUGUGCUGAGACACCACGUGAUGAUCGGGUGUGAUAGGCUCUACGUUCAAAU
rnacentral:lncRNA from 1 species